rnacentral:rRNA from 1 species
AUGUUAGAGUUUGAUCAUGGCUCAGAUUGAACGCUGGCGGCAGGCCUAACACAUGCAAGUCGGACGGUAGCACAGAGGAGCUUGCUCCUCGGGUGACGAGUGGCGGACGGGUGAGUAUGUCUGGGGAUCUGCCCGAUAGAGGGGGAUAACCACUGGAAACGGUGGCUAAUACCGCAUAACGUCGCAAGACCAAAGAGGGGGACCUUCGGGCCUCUCACUAUCAGAUGAACCCAGAUGGGAUUAGCUAGUAGGCGGGGUAACGGCCCACCUAGGCGACGAUCCCUAGCUGGUCUGAGAGGAUGACCAGCCACACUGGAACUGAGACACGGUCCAGACUCCUACGGGAGGCAGCAGUGGGGAUAUUGCACAAUGGGCGCAAGCCUGAUGCAGCCAUGCCGCGUGUAUGAAGAAGGCCUUCGGGUUGUAAAGUACUUUCAGCGGGGAGGAAGGCAGUGAGGUUAAUAACCUUACUGAUUGAC